rnacentral:sRNA from 1 species
GAGGCUUUUUGGGAGUUCAAUGGCUUCGAAUUCCAUCGGAACUCCAAAGUUAAGCGACCUCGGGCGAGAGCAUUCCUAGGAUGGGUGACCCACUGGGAAGUUCUCGUGUGAGUUCCCAGAAAUAAAAUAGUGAGGGCAUGAUCGGGGCCCAAAGAGGAUAAUAUCGUGCUACGGUGGAGUCAAGCCUAGGAUGUGGUGGGGGCCCGGGCUGGGAUAUGAUAAUUUGGUAUCAGAGCCAAUCCUUGGCCGGAAGUGUGUCGACGAUGACGUCGGGCCCCUAAGGGGGGUGGAUUGUAACAUCCCACAUUGCCCAAGGGAGUGGAUCCUGUAAGCUUUAUAUGUAUAUUCUCAUCUCUACCUAGUACGAAGCCUUUUGGGAGCUCAAUGACUUCGGGUUUCAUCGGAACUCCAAAGUUAAGCGAGUUCGGGCGAAAGCAUUCCCAGGAUGGGUGACCCACUGGGAAGUUAUUGUGUGAGUUCCC